rnacentral:rRNA from 1 species
CCUACGGGUGGCUGCAGUGGGGAAUAUUGCACAAUGGGGGAAACCCUGAUGCAGCGACGCCGCGUGAGCGAUGAAGUAUUUCGGUAUGUAAAGCUCUAUCAGCAGGGAAGAAAAUGACGGUACCUGACUAAGAAGCCCCGGCGAACUACGUGCCAGCAGCCGCGGUAAUACGUAGGGGGCAAGCGUUAUCCGGAUUUACUGGGUGUAAAGGGAGCGUAGGCGGGUUAGCAAGUCAGAAGUGAAAGCCCGGGGCUCAACUCCGGGACUGCUUUUGAAACGGUUGAACUAGAUUGCAGGAGAGGUAAGUGGAAUUCCUGGUGUAGCGGUGAAAUGCGUAGAUAUUAGGAGGAACACCAGUGGCGAAGGCGGCUUACUGGACUGUAAAUGACGCUGAGGCUCGAAAGCGUGGGGAGCGAACAGGAUUAGAUACCCGAGUAGUC